CCAAUAGCGUAUAUUAAAGUUGUUGCAGUUAAAAAGCUCGUAGUUGAAUUUCGGGGUUAGUAGGUUGGUCAUGCCUCUGGUAUGUACUGGUCUCACUGAUUCCUCCUUCCUGAUGAACCUUAAUGCCAUUAAUUUGGUAUUUUGGGGAAUUUGGACUGUUACUUUGAAAAAAUUAGAGUGUUUAAAGCAAGCUAACGCUU
rnacentral:rRNA from 1 species